UUUUGCCCCAGCUGGGUCUUGAGAAACAAGAGAAAGUAUGUUCCACCUGUUAUCCAGUGGCAGAUUUAGUGGCCAAGGCACGGUCGUCCAGCAUCAACUUCCGGAUUGUUGCUGCGAAACAAUUGGCGGAAUUCUCCAGAGACACAGCAAUGGUGCCAAAGGUCGUCGAAGUCGGAGGAGUGCAAGCCCUAGUUGCAUUGGCGACGGUCGAUGAAGCAGAAAUCCAGG
rnacentral:lncRNA from 1 species